AUAAUCCGCUCUCUUCACUGAGAUUUUUUCCUCUCUCCAAGCACCCUUUUCCCGCUUUCAUUGUUACCUGAUUUUCCGAGCAAUUUCGAUGUUGGUGAAGUAAUCAAGCUGUGAUUUUGAGUUGGUUUUGGUUUUGGUUUUAUCCUUUUCAGUUCAAGGUGAGCCGGAGUGACUAUGCAGUGCAGUAGCUACACACCCGUGUAUUGCCACACGGGGGAUCUGAAUUCGGUGCAGGUGGCUAUUCUUGGCACCUGUAUGGAGAAGAAAGAGGCUACACCGACACCAUUUUUGUGCCAUCGUCUGAUCAGUACGUAGGUUAUGACAAGGGAAUGGUGAAACAGAUCAUACAGAAUCACGAAGCCACGUUUAGGUUUCAGGUUCAGGAGCUGCACCGUUUACACGGAAGGCAGAGGGACUUGAUGGAUGAAAUGAGAGUGAGACGGCAUUUACUGUCUCAAACAUCAGAAUCAAUCUAUUCCUCGUCUCAUCCCGGG